CCACCCCCCCACACAAUUUUUGCCGUCCUCGCGCCCACUGUCUGCAGCGGGAGACUGCUCCGUUUCACCUGCUCCCUGUGUCGCCCUGGGAGGAAUGCCUCUCGCUGUCCAGAAAACUGGAAUUAAAUGUGUCAAUCACAUGCAGCGUGGGAGCCGUCUCAACGGGCCAUGGAUGUGGUGGACCAGGAGUGGAUCACGGUGUGCCAGAGCAGUGGUCUCGACUGUCUAAAUUGAACCAGGCCAAAGGCACAGCUUUAAUCAAGCUGAGAAGAGGCUGCUGGGAGAUUUGCAGACUUCUGGAAGCACACUGUACAGAUGGCCUUCAUUAAGGGGGUUUGUGGAAAAUCAGCCAGGAACAAUUGUUUUCCCACUCGCAUUUAUGAAGUGGAAUGACUUAUAGCACACAGACGGAGAUGGCUUCCUGUUAAAUAUAUCAGCAACGUAACUUUCAGCUUUAGCCAAAUUAUAUUCCACCGUAAUACCAUGCAGAUGCAGGUUAUUAGGUCUUGCUCUCGAUCCUAGGUUGUAGCUCUUGUGACUUAAAAGAUGAUGGAGUAUCACAGAGAAUUAGUGUCAUUCAAAGCCUGUGGUCUACGGAGAUUUUGUAAAUUAAUUGGCAGGUGGCCCAGAAGACUCCUAAACUUGGACUUUGGACAGCAGAUUACACACCAUAUAUGUGGAGAGUUAUG